UCAGGCCUAACACAUGCAAGUCGUACGAGAGUUUUUAACUCUAGUGGCGGACGGGUGAGUAACACGUGAGAAUUUGCCUUUAGGAGGGGGACAACAAUUGGAAACGAAUGCUAAUACCCCAUAUGCUUUAGAGUGAAAUGGAUUUUAUCCGCCUAGAGAGAAGCUCGCGGCUGAAUAGCUUGUUGGUAAGGUAAGAGCUUACCAAGGCGACGAUCAGUAUCUGGUUUGAGAGGACGAUCAGACACACUGGAACUGAGACACGGUCCAGACUCCUACGGGAGGCAGCAGUGGGGAAUUU
rnacentral:rRNA from 1 species